rnacentral:misc_RNA from 1 species
AGUUUUCAAGUGCGAUGUUAACAUUGGGUUCUAGAGGGUUGUGUGUGUCAUUAUUCCCGAAGAGAUAGAGGCUAAAUAUACACAUGUAGGUAUAGAAUAAAUCGACCCGCCACCGGCACAGAGGCUAGUAUGUACAUUGUCAUUGUUGUAAACAAGAGCAUCAUUUGUAUUUGUAAACGUAUGUAAAAUUUACGAAAUUAUAAUGAAUGAGUUAUGACCAAUUGAUCUCUUGUACCUUAUUUUAAGGUGAUUUUCAUGGGUAUUAUAUUUCUUCUUUUACAGUGCUGCAGAAAUGUUAAACAAAUUCCACGAGCUAGAUGUAGAUCGCAGUGGGAAACUCGAUCAACAAGAAGCUAAAGAGGGACUCGAACUCAUGACCACUGCCACUGGGCGAAAGUUAGAUCCGCGCGAAAUCGAAUUUUUCCUAAAAACCGCCUCUGAUGAGGAGGGAUUCAUUGACAUUGGAAAAUUCGUCAGUUUAUUCAAACGCCUGAAGGUAUACGACAGCCCAGCGCCCCCAAAGAACGCCAAGUGCCACGUGCUCGGGAGUGAUUGAAAAAUAAAAAUGAUUUUGACCAAUUGAGUUUCAAACAUUUACACAUAAUUUAAUGAAAUGAUGAUCAUUUGCGGACUUUUUUUCUUGUUUGUUUUUGUUUCGUUUUAAAAACCUUUUUAUCAUUCGUUGUUUGAUUGAUACUUUUGUAUAAAUCUGCUUUUUAAUGUUAUCUUUAUUGAAACUAAGUACACGAUAAAUCGUAUUAAUUUCCUUAAGGAAUAUGUCUACAAUUUUGUGUUGUUGAACUUUUGCACUUUUUUACCAUGACAAAAAAAUGAAAAUAAAAUGUUGUAAACAGAU